AGUAAGAAAAAAUUUUAUAACAUUAAUACUAGAAUUAAAUAAAAAUUUAGAUGAAAAUUUUUCAAGCGAAUUGGAAUAUAGUGAAUUGAUAAAAAUCGUAACAAAAGAUUUUUUGAUACAUAAUGUUCAUUGUUGUGUUAAAAAAAUAAGUUAUGCACGGUUAGAAGAUCAUAAAAAAUUAAAAAAAAGACAAGUGUGUUUUUUUUUGGAUGUGGCAUCUAGAUUAAUAACAUAUUCCAUUUGGAAAAAUAAUAUUAAAGAGCAAGCAAAAGAUAUUAUGAAUUUAGUAAAUGAAUAUCCCAUUUUUAUGAUAUGCGUAAGUAAAUAUUGUAGUGACCUUAAACUAUUAAAUAGAUAUAAACUGGCUGCUGUUCUUUUUGAUAUAGUUAACGCAAAAUUAAGAGAAGAAGAAGAAAAUUUGGUUUUAUUAAAAAAUAUAAAAAAUAAUUAUCUAUGGGAAUAUGAUGACUUAUUUACGGAACAUAGUGGCAUUAUAAACACAUACCAAUCCAAUAUUAUUAAAGAUGAAAAUAUAAAAAAAAAACAUAUUAGAUAUGGAUCCUUAUUAUAUUGUGUAGCUAACUUUUUGAAGCCAAAAAAUGAUAAAGAAUUAGAUGUAAGUGAAAGUGAAGAAAUACAACUAUUUUUAAAACAGAAAUUUAUUGAAUCAUUUUUUGUAGACAGUUUAAAUACUUUGUUACAACCACAUUAUUUUAAAAUAUUAAAAAGUUUAAAUUUAGAUUAUACCAAUUUUAUAAACAUAUAUAAGUAUUGUAUUAAACAAUUGAAUACAUUAUAUAGUAAUAAAACGAAUAUAUAUUUUUGUAAACGCUUUAUUGUUCCAUUGUUUUAUAAAUGGAGAUUGCUUAACGAUAUUACAAAUAAACAUAUGAGUUAUUUAGGUUAUUUGACUCACCAGUUGGAAGUGUGUAUUAAAAUGUAUCAAACACCAAAUGACAGUACACAAGAUGGACAUGUAGUAUUAGGUCACAAAAAUGUUGUUCUUUCAGAUGUCGCUAACCACAACCACAAUGGGAAGGUAGCCGAUAUAGGAAUAAAUAGUGACAGUAGCGAUAGUAACAGCAUAACGAAUUUGUCCGAAUCCGAACAAGAAGACACUACAAAUAUGCAGAACAUGUCAAAUAAAAAAAAAAAAAAAAAAACGAAUGACACAGAAAAAAAAAAACAGUUAAAAGAAAUGAAUACGUUAGCAUUUGUAUUUAUAAUUGUAAAAAAAAAAAAAUAUAGACAGACUUUAUUUCGAACACAUGGUGAUAUAAUACACAAUUAUGUUCAUAAAUUUAGUUUUUAUCUUUUACAUACUUUCAAACAAAUAACUGCAAAUGAAUUUUCUAUACCCACAUAUUUUAUAUCACAAUAUUAUUAUGAAAAAAAUAAAAAUAAACUUGAUACUAUACCUAAACUGUUUUUAAACGAUGAAAAACAAAUUAAAGGAUAUAUGCAGUUAUAUAUUUCUUUUUUUUUCAUUUUCCAAACCUAUUCCAAUUAUAUAGUUUAUAGUUGGGAUGUUAUAUUACAAAAUAUAGUGAGUUGUAUAGAGCUAAUUAAUUCGCUCAAGUUUGAAAAAGAACUUCAAAUAAUUACAUUCUGUUUAAAAAAAAAAAAAAAAAGUAUCACCGCCGCUUCUAUGAAGGAAAGUGAUGCACAAAUAGAUGAGCGCGUUAUGUGGUCGACAUAUAUAAAGACGAUCAUUUGUCAUUUACUCUACUUUCUUGACAUGAUAGAAUUUAUUAUCGUACUGAAGAAAAUUUUAGUCGAAGAUAUUGAACUAAAUGGAUACAUGAGAACGAUUUUUUUGCUCUACAAAUGUUAUGAAAUAGUAAAUUUCAAUAAUUACGAGACAGUAGUGUUUUAUUUAAAAAUUUGGAAUAGAAUGAAUAACCAUAUUUAUUUUCUUUUUAAUACCCCGUAUUUUGAUAAAUCAACUGAAUCAAGGUUAUUAAUAAUAUACACUUUUUUUUUAUUUACUAACAAAUUUAUUUCCAAACAAUCUAUCUUAAGAAUGAUUAGUAGCUAUUCGAGUGUUGCAAAAAUAAAAAAAAAUAUAUUAAACAACCAUUUAAAAAAUUUUGUAAAUCAUACUGAAACGGUAAAUUAUAUGCGACCGAAGCAAGUAAAUCUUAUCCAGAAGAUUGUGGAUUCAUUCUUGGCAGCACAAUUAUUAGAACCGAUAAAAAAAAAGAGAGGAAGAAAAAGACAUAUAAUUAUCCCGCACACUAUAAAAAUGAAGAAACAAGAGAAAAAACAGACGAAAAUGAAGGUGAAAGCGAAAACGGAAAAAAAAAAGAAGGUGAAGAAGAAGGAGAAGGAGAAGGAGAAGGAGAAGGUGAAAAAGAAAAAGAAGAAAAAACAAAAGAAGAAAAAAGAAGAAACGGGGGAGAAAACUAACGAGAUAGACAUAGUAGACAAGGACAAGAAGGACAAGAAGGUCAAGAAGGAUAAGAAGGAUAAGAAGGAUAAGAAUGAUAAGAAAGAUAAAAAAGAUAAAAAAGAUAAAAAAGAUAAGAAAGAUAAAAANNNNNNNNNNAAAAAAGAUAAAAAAGAUAAGAAAGAUAAAAAAGAUAAGAAAGAUAAGAAAGAUAAGAAAGAAAAGAAUGACGAAAAAGACAUGUCAGACAUGUCAGUCGAGAAAGACAAAAAAUUUAACAAAAACAAGAAAAUGAAUAAAGAUAAAAAAAGAAAGAAGGACAAAAAGGCCGAUAAAGCUAAGAAAACGAAAAAGAAGAUCGAAAAAAAGAGUGAAAAAAAGAAGAAAAUACAAACUGAUGAGCGUUCAUAAAAUAAUAACAAUGUUUUUUUAUUAUUAAAUGUUAAUUAUUUAAUUUUAUAUUAAUAUGCAUUUUUUUAUGGAUCUUGCUUAUUUAUGUAAUUAUCGUUUACGUUGAUAUGAUGCUUUUUUU
rnacentral:lncRNA from 1 species